AAAAGAUGCAUGGUGUUGGCUUGUUUUCUGUUGGACCUUCCCAGAAAAUGAAGAUCAAAAUCCAAAAACUAAAAGGCUGCUGAAUAUUCCAAAAGGCCAAGGAUGAAAAUGUAAAAAUGCCAGGAGAGUCCCUCUUGUACAGAUCUAUUUAGAUCUAUUGAAAGACAUGCACUUUGACUACCGCCUGUCUCGGCCACUAUUGAGGCACUGAUGGUCAUUCUCAGGAGGGAGAAGACCCAUGCUGGGUGCAAUAUAUGGAGGUCCUCCUGGUGGUCUACUGGCUGGCACAUGGAUUGUCUUACACCAUUGUCUCCCGGGUAUUUGAUCUUCUGCUCUGUGUGUGUUUUGAAUUUUGAGUUUUCUGUUUUGUG